rnacentral:rRNA from 1 species
ACCCCUAAGGCGAGGCCGAAAGGCGUAGUCGAUGGGAAACAGGUUAAUAUUCCUGUACUUGGUGUUACUGCGAAGGGGGGACGGAGAAGGCUAUGUUGGCCGGGCGACGGUUGUCCCGGUUUAAGCGUGUAGGCUGGUUUUCCAGGCAAAUCCGGAAAAUCAAGGCUGAGGCGUGAUGACGAGGCACUACGGUGCUGAAGCAACAAAUGCCCUGCUUCCAGGAAAAGCCUCUAAGCAUCAGGUAACAUCAAAUCGUACCCCAAACCGACACAGGUGGUCAGGUAGAGAAUACCAAGGCGCUUGAGAGAACUCGGGUGAAGGAACUAGGCAAAAUGGUGCCGUAACUUCGGGAGAAGGCACGCUGAUAUGUAGGUGAAGUCCCUCGCGGAUGGAGCUGAAAUCAGU